AGACCCGCUAUCCCCUUGUCAUUAGUCUGCUCACGGCCAGGGCACUCUAAGGAGACUGCCGGUGACUAAACCGGAGGAAGGUGGGGAUGACGUCAAGUCACUCAUGGCCCUUACUGAGCCAGGGCUUACACACGUGAUACAAUGGUGGGAUACAGAGGGUCGCCAACCCCGCGAGGGGCGAAGCCGGAUCCCCAGUAAACCGCGCGAUCGUAGUCCGGAUCGCAGUCUGCAACUCGACUCGCGAUGAAGUCGGAAUCGCUAGUAAUCGCGGAUCAGCAUGCUCGCGGUGUAUAACGUUCC
rnacentral:rRNA from 1 species